rnacentral:rRNA from 1 species
UAUUGGGCGUAAAGCGAGCGCAGGCGGAAAAAUAAGUCUAAUGUGAAAGCCCUCGGCUUAACCGAGGAACUGCAUCGGAAACUGUUUUUCUUGAGUGCAGAAGAGGAGAGUGGAACUCCAUGUGUAGCGGUGGAAUGCGUAGAUAUAUGGAAGAACACCAGUGGCGAAGGCGGCUCUCUGGUCUGCAACUGACGCUGAGGCUCGAAAGCAUGGGUAGCGAACAGGAUUAGAUACCCUGGUAGUCCAUGCCGUAAACGAUGAGUGCUAAGUGUUGGGAGGUUUCCGCCUCUCAGUGCUGCAGCUAACGCAUUAAGCACUCCGCCUGGGGAGUACGACCGCAAGGUUGAAACUCAAAGGAAUUGACGGGGGCCCGCACAAGCGGUGGAGCAUGUGGUUUAAUUCGAUGCAACGCGAAGAACCUUACCAGGUCUUGACAUCUAGUGCAAUCUGUAGAGAUACGGAGUUCCCUUCGGGGACGCUAAGACAGGUGGUGCAUGGCUGUCGUCAGCUCGUGUCGUGAGAUGUUGGGUUAAGUCCCGCAACGAGCGCAACCCUUGUUAUUAGUUGCCAGCAUUAAGUUGGGCACUCUAAUGAGACUGCCGGUGACAAACCGGAGGAAGGUGGGGAUGACGUCAAGUCAUCAUGCCCCUUAUGACCUGGGCUACACACGUGCUACAAUGGGCAGUACAACGAGAAGCAAGCCUGCGAAGGCAAGCGAAUCUCUGAAAGCUGUUCUCAGUUCGGACUGCAGUCUGCAACUCGACUGCACGAAGCUGGAAUCGCUAGUAAUCG